AUGAACGCUAGCGACAGGCUUAACACAUGCAAGUCGAGGGGCAGCGGGGGUAGCAAUACCCGCCGGCGACCGGCGCACGGGUGAGUAACGCGUAUGCAACUUGCCUAUCAGAGGGGGAUAACCCGGCGAAAGUCGGACUAAUACCGCAUAAAGCAGGGGCCCCGCAUGGGGAUAUUUGCUAAAGAUUCAUCGCUGAUAGAUAGGCAUGCGUUCCAUUAGGCAGUUGGCGGGGUAACGGCCCACCAAACCGACGAUGGAUAGGGGUUCUGAGAGGAAGGUCCCCCACAUUGGUACUGAGACACGGACCAAACUCCUACGGGAGGCAGCAGUGAGGAAUAUUGGUCAAUGGGCGUAAGCCUGAACCAGCCAAGUCGCGUGAGGGAUGAAGGUUCUAUGGAUCGUAAACCUCUUUUAUAAGGGAAUAAAGUGCGGGACGUGUCCCGUUUUGUAUGUACCUUAUGAAUAAGGAUCGGCUAACUCCGUGCCAGCAGCCGCGGUAAUACGGAGGAUCCGAGCGUUAUCCGGAUUUAUUGGGUUUAAAGGGUGCGUAGGCGGCCUUUUAAGUCAGCGGUGAAAGUCUGUGGCUCAACCAUAGAAUUGCCGUUGAAACUGGGGGGCUUGAGUAUGUUUGAGGCAGGCGGAAUGCGUGGUGUAGCGGUGAAAUGCUUAGAUAUCACGCAGAACCCCGAUUGCGAAGGCAGCCUGCCAAGCCAUGACUGACGCUGAUGCACGAAAGCGUGGGGAUCAAACAGGAUUAGAUACCCUGGUAGUCCACGCAGUAAACGAUGAUCACUAGCUGUUUGCGAUACAGUGUAAGCGGCACAGCGAAAGCGUUAAGUGAUCCACCUGGGGAGUACGCCGGCAACGGUGAAACUCAAAGGAAUUGACGGGGGCCCGCACAAGCGGAGGAACAUGUGGUUUAAUUCGAUGAUACGCGAGGAACCUUACCCGGGUUUGAACGCAUUCGGACCGAGGUGGAAACACCUUUUCUAGCAAUAGCCGUUUGCGAGGUGCUGCAUGGUUGUCGUCAGCUCGUGUCGUGAGAUGUUGGGUUAAGUCCCGCAACGAGCGCAACCCUUGCCACUAGUUACUAACAGGUAAAGCUGAGGACUCUGGUGGGACUGCCAGCGUAAGCUGCGAGGAAGGCGGGGAUGACGUCAAAUCAGCACGGCCCUUACAUCCGGGGCGACACACGUGUUACAAUGGCGUGGACAAAGGGAAGCCACCUGGCGACAGGGAGCGAAUCCCCAAACCACGUCUCAGUUCGGAUCGGAGUCUGCAACCCGACUCCGUGAAGCUGGAUUCGCUAGUAAUCGCGCAUCAGCCAUGGCGCGGUGAAUACGUUCCCGGGCCUUGUACACACCGCCCGUCAAGCCAUGGGAGCCGGGGGUACCUGAAGUCCGUAACCGCGAGGAUCGGCCUAGGGUAAAACUGGUGACUGGGGCU
rnacentral:rRNA from 1 species